rnacentral:rRNA from 1 species
AGAGCGAACGCUGGCGGCAGGCCUAACACAUGCAAGUCGAGCGCCCCGCAAGGGGAGCGGCAGACGGGAGAGUAACACGUGGGAACGUACCCUUCAGUUCGGAACAACCCAGGGAAACUUGGGCUAAUACCGAAUACGUCCGUAAGGAGAAAGAUUUAUCGCUGAAGGAUCGGCCCGCGUCUGAUUAGCUUGUUGGUGAGGUAAUGGCUCACCAAGGCUACGAUCAGUAGCUGGUCUGAGAGGAUGAUCAGCCUCACUGGGACUGAGACACGGCCCAGACUCCUACGGGAGGCAGCAGUGGGGAAUAUUGGACAAUGGGCGCAAGCCUGAUCCAGCCAUGCCGCGUGGGUGAUGAAGGCCCUAGGGUUGUAAAGCCCUUUCGGCGGGGAAGAUAAUGACGGUACCCGCAGAAGAAGCCCCGGCUAACUUCGUGCCAGCAGCCGC